rnacentral:rRNA from 1 species
GACGAACGCUGGCGGCGUGCCUAAUACAUGCAAGUCGAACGAGAGCGACCGGUGCUUGCACUGGUCAAUCUAGUGGCGAACGGGUGAGUAACACGUGGGUAACCUGCCCAUCAGAGGGGGAUAACAUUCUGAAACGGAUGCUAAAACCGCAUAGGUCUUCGAACCGCAUGGUUUGAAGAGGAAAAGAGGCGCACGCUUCUGCUGAUGGAUGGACCCGCGGUGCAUUAGCUAGUUGGUGAGGUAACGGCUCACCAAGGCCGUGAUGCAUAGCCGACCUGAGAGGGUGAUCGGCCACAUUGGGACUGAGACACGGCCCAAACUCCUACGGGAGGCAGCAGUAGGGAAUCUUCCGCAAAGGACGCAAGUCUGACGGAGCAACGCCGCGUGAGUGAAGAAGGUUUUCGGAUCGUAAAACUCUGUUGUUAGAGAAGAAUAAGUGCUAGAGUAACUGUUAGCGCCUUGACGGUAUCUAACCAGAAAGCCACGGCUAACUACGUG